AACGAACGCUGGCGGCAGGCUUAACACAUGCAAGUCGAGCGCCCCGCAAGGGGAGCGGCAGACGGGUGAGUAACGCGUGGGAACGUACCUUUUGGUUCGGAACAACUCCGGGAAACUGGAGCUAAUACCGGAUAAGCCCUAACGGGGAAAGAUUUAUCGCCGAAAGAUCGGCCCGCGUCUGAUUAGCUAGUUGGUGAGGUAACGGCUCACCAAGGCGACGAUCAGUAGCUGGUCUGAGAGGAUGAUCAGCCACACUGGGACUGAGACACGGCCCAGACUCCUACGGGAGGCAGCAGUGGGGAAUAUUGGACAAUGGGCGCAAGCCUGAUCCAGCCAUGCCGUGUGAGUGAUGAAGGCCUUAGGGUUGUAAAGCUCUUUUGUCCGGGAAGAUAAUGACUGUACCGGAAGAAUAAGCCCCGGCUAACUUCGUG
rnacentral:rRNA from 1 species